CACGUAGGGCGCAAGCGUUGUCCGGAAUUAUUGGGCGUAAAGAGCUCGUAGGCGGUCUGUUGCGUCCGCUGUGAAAACCCGGGGCUUAACCCCUGGCUUGCAGUGGAUACGGACAGACUAGAGGUAGGUAGGGGAGAAUGGAAUUCCCGGUGUAGCGGUGAAAUGCGCAGAUAUCGGGAGGAACACCGGUGGCGAAGGCGGUUCUCUGGGCCUUACCUGACGCUGAGGAGCGAAAGCGUGGGGAGCAAACAGG
rnacentral:rRNA from 1 species